UAUUACGCUAGCGGGAUGCCUUACACAUGCAAGUCGAACGGCAGCACGGACUUCGGUCUGGUGGCGAGUGGCGAACGGGUGAGUAAUGUAUCGGAACGUGCCUAGUAGCGGGGGAUAACUACGCGAAAGCGUAGCUAAUACCGCAUACGCCCUACGGGGGAAAGCAGGGGAUCGCAAGACCUUGCACUAUUAGAGCGGCCGAUAUCGGAUUAGCUAGUUGGUGGGGUAACGGCUCACCAAGGCGACGAUCCGUAGCUGGUUUGAGAGGACGACCAGCCACACUGGGACUGAGACACGGCCCAGACUCCUACGGGAGGCAGCAGUGGGGAAUUUUGGACAAUGGGGGAAACCCUGAUCCAGCCAUCCCGCGUGUGCGAUGAAGGCCUUCNGGUUGUAAAGCACUUUUGGCAGGAG
rnacentral:rRNA from 1 species